CUGUAGAAAGCUUGAGUGUUUCAAUCCAUGUGUGUGUACUCGGCACUUGGUUAACCCUUUCUUCCUCACCAGUUUCCUGUGUCUUUCCUCAAGCAGAAUGUCUCUUACGGACAACGUCACCAUCCUUGGGUUUGGAAGGAGGCGUGGGGACAUCAUUGUGUGAACGCUGCUCCCUGAUACAAGCCACAAGCAGUUUCUCAGCAAAGAAAAGCCUGCAGCUCAUUCUGCUAAUUGCCAGGCUUCAUUCCACUAUGGACAAUGAGAUACACACACCUGAACUUCUGUUAAGACCCUUCUUGCUGCUCAUCAAGUUGAAAUGGAGGGCUGGGAGUGGAGAAACGAACAAUUGAAAUGGAGAAAUGCUCUCACACAUUUGUGAUUUGACCUUGUGCCAGUGCAGCUAACCCAUUAGGCAAUGGAUUGACUAAAAUGACUCCUCUGAAUCACUGAAAUUGUACGUAAAAUGGCAGCUUGAUUUUUCUUUUCUCUGUUCCCCACCUGUUGUCACUUUGCCUUGGACUCUGGUGCUGCGCCCUAGUGCUGUAGCUACCUGUGUGUGCGUCACAGCCUUGCCAUCAGGUAGGUGCCCAGAGCCAGCUGGGAUGGAUUCAGACACCCCCCAUUUACCAAAUCACCCCAUUUUUUGUACCACCCCCGCUACCAAAAUCACAGCAAAUAGGACGAGACUAGCCCCCAGGGCUGAUACCCCAGGAGGGGCUGUGUGAAGAGAGGUUGGGGCUCUCUGGUUUGCAGAGAGCAACAAGCUGGGAGAAGGGUGCAGAAGUGCCAAGUGGUGGUGUAGAAGGUCAUUUUGGUGUCCUUUAUUCGUUCCCUUAAUCCACGAGCAGGGGGAAUUCGAUGAAAAUGGGAGCUAAUAAGCAGGAGUGGAGGAAGGUGUUUGUUAGCUCUGCUUACCGUCUGUCUGUGAGACUUCUCCGAGGCCAGGAGCUUAGUGUAGUCUAAAAACCACAGACACCCACGCAGGUGAUGAAAUCCCUGUUUCAGGGCAGAAAAAAAAGAUGAUAUAAAGCUCGUGUGUCUCAUUUCAUAGGAAAUGCCAGCAAGGCCAGAUGCUUCGCUCUGAGCAUGCUGUCUGAUGGGCACUGGCCUGUGUUGGCUAGUGGAGCCACCAGUUUGAUCCCUGAAGACCCUCUUAAGCCCUUAGAAAGCAAGGCAGUUAUUUGGAAACUAAUUUGGCAGAUGUUUGGAGACUUAUUUCAUGAGCUAGAUGGAUGGAAGGAGAUUUGUGGUGCCAGACUCCAUGGAGGGGAUGUGCAGAGCGAUGCUCAGGGUGGUUGGAGGGGAGAGAAUGCAAAGACCAAAGCUGGCUGAGGGCAUCCCAGGAUGGAGCAUCCUCUGCCUUCUCAGCCUCGAGUGUCUGGAGGGUUGGAAGCCCCAAAAAGCUUUGAGUUGGUGUUUGGGCUGUGGUAGACGAAGCGGUGCGAAGGAAGCCUUGCUGCAGCCUGUCCCUCUGCCAGGCCAGCUCCCAGCACACACCCCCGGAGGGCAUCUUCAGCAGAUGGACAGUAGCUAAGCAGCAGCUUUGUUAGAAUUUAGUUAAAAAUCAGCAGCAGUAGGAAAUCAGGCUUUCCUAGUCCUGGAACUUGUUCUUUUUCUCGUCCUUUCCUCAUAUUUCACAUGUUUCUGUUGGAAAAGAGAAGCUAAAACAACACUCAGAUUGUUUUCUUCAAGGAGAAAUAUUUCCUUUUGAAGUAAAGAAGAAAGCAAAUGUUUCCACUAACUACUUUGAAUGAUGCAAUUUAGCCACUUCCAGAAAAGUUUUCAGAUUUUCAAUCUGUCACAAUCACGUCGGUGAGCCAGGAGAGAAGAAUUUUAGCUCUGUCCCCCUGUCGAAUCUGCCUGUGUGGCUCCCGCUAUUUUCUCUCCUGAUAGAAGCAAUUGGCGUGCUGCUUUCUGUCCUCCGCUGCCACAAAAGGCCACGAUCCGAUGGGAUGUCAAACUGCCUCGCACUUGUUAAGCUCCCGUGGCUGGCAGCAUCUGUGCAUUUGCAAUGACAUCUCCAAAUCCAUCCCGGAUACAAAAGUACUCUAAAAUUGUAGCCUUUGUGUGUGUCUAUGCGCUGUAUGUUUUAUUUAUAAAGCUUUUAGAGAUAGCAGCUUGUUCUCUAAUUUAUUUUGGGUUGGUGAGGAGGAGGAAAUCUCAUUGGCAAGAUAGGGAAUUUGCAAUCUGAAUGUAAAAGGAAUGUGGGGAAAAAAAAAAAAAAGUCCAGGGUUCUGGGACAUGUUUGCAUGAAUAAUAAUGCCUCCAAAACGAUAAUGGAUCGCCAUCCGUUUGUAGAACUGCAGAAGCUGCUUUGAUAAAUAAAAUGAUAUGUCAAAUUGUAAGCA